AUUGAGUGAUAACCAGGGCAGCUCCACUGUAUAAACAGAUUGAUCUGGUGAUAAGAGAUGAUGGGGGUAGAUUAUAUGAUCGAGGAAAGGCAAAUCUGAGCCCAUAUGCAUUGAACCCUGAACCCUUUUUAUUCGCACGUGCCCCACCGGUCGGAAGCCAUCCUUGCUAGGGCGAUGAUGAUUCGCUGUGGCUGAAAUAAGUGUGCCUUUGAGCAAUCAAGGCACCUGUGGGUAUCAAGUUGGGUCCUCCCUCUUGUCUCUAGAAUCCUUUUUGAUCAUGUGAUGUCCUUGGAUGGUCAUUCUUGUUGAAUGAUAACCAGGGCAGCUCCACUGUAUAAACAGAUUAAUCUGGUGACAAGAGAUGGCGGGGGUAGAUUAUAUGAUCGAGGAAAGGCAAAUCUGAGCCCACUAUGCAUUGAACCCUGAACCCUUUAUAUUUGUAUUUAAAGGUGUUGCUUAUUUAUGCUCCAGUGUUUAUAGCCGUCUUAUGUGAAUAUUUCUUCUCUCUCAUACCUUUAUUGCAUAUAAGUUGUUCUUGACUUUUAUUGUUUGUUGUUGGUCCUUGAUUUCAUCUGGUUAAGAGUAAGCAAGUUGUCGGUUCAAUGGCUUGUUUUAAUUUGUUGAUAAACCAGCAGAAACCACGGUGUCAUGUUUCUAAUAACAGCGUCUUUAGGCUGGUUAAUGUCUGUAUUGGAGACCAUUACCUUUUAUUUCGCUUGUUUCUUACCAUCUUCCUUGCUUCUCUGGCUGUUUCACGGUUGGGACGGUGGCGUGGCGUUGGGGCUGUCUUGCGGGUUGGCCGGAGAGGGAGCACACCGAGUGGGCUUCUAAGAUGGCUGAGGGAUUUGUCUAGGGUUUCCUGGUUAAUCCAUUCUGAUUUUGGUCUGCUCAUGCUCUUGGCUUCCGGACCGUGGUGCUCAAGGUGACUCGGCUUUCUUUUCCCUCGGUUCGCCUGCAGUUGAGCUUUCGUGUCAUCGAUGGUUUCAGAUUCCUCCAUCCUUACUACACUGCCUAUAGUUUCUUAGGUCCCAUUGCUGACCCGUAGAGAGGCGUCCGUGGGGGUCUCCAUGGUCGCCGGUGACCGAACGCGACCACCGCUGCCGAUCCCGCUAUUUUUUUAUAUUAGAUGCUCUCCUGCUUUGGCUAAAUCAGAUAGAGGCUUUAAGCAUAUUCAGUUUAAAUAAUGUCAGUCCUAAUUUGGAUAAAUGAAAUAACAAGAGCUUCAGACUAAUGUGGAACAAUUGGUCAAAAUAGAAGAGUUUAGUUCCUGUCAGUUUAGUUAGUGGCCUAUAUGAAUUUGAUUUGGCCCACAAUAAUUUUGUAUAAUUAUUGAUUUGCUAGCAUAUAUUCUAAACUUAAUUUUGUUAGCUCCUAUCUCGUGUUCUUUCUUAUAAUAUCUUUUUAUAUGACGUGCUUCACGAGAGUUUCUCCAUGUUUAUGAAGAAAAGAUUUGGGUUCAGAGCACCUUCGGUUAUAAGAAUUUGUUUUCUAAUUCUUGCUGGUCAGUUGCAAAACAUUAAUUUUUGUUUGCUUUACAAUUUUUCAGAAGUAAUGGGAAAUGACGAGCUCCUACUUUUUAUGCCAGCUCUAUGACGUAGGUUUGUGUGAGGUGGUCCCUAUGAAGUACAUCGACAAGGCAGAUGGAUUACGUGACUUAUUAGUAUGCUUAGUGAUAAUGGCUCCGUAGUUGGCUCUUUUUAAUAUAUUCCUGUUCUUAUUACCUCUUAUGUGUUUUUGCUUUUGGUAUCGAACUUCAUGUCGAAUGUGUAUCUUUUGUGGUCGUAUGAACGCACCGAGCUUGAUCCUGCCUUAUAAACUGAUGUUGAUCUUGUACUCCAUUGUGUUUUACUUUUAUCACAAUACAGGCGCGGCGGAGGAGCUGUCUUCUGAGUUGACCGGAGAGGGAGCACAUUGGAGAGGCUUCUGAGAUGACCAAGGGUUUACUGAUCGAUCCAUCCUGAUUGGGAUCUGUUUGUGGUCCUGGUUGACUGGCUGGUGCGUCGUGCCGUUGCUGGUGCUUGAGGUUGUCUCGCUGGUUUCCUUGCAGUAUCGUCGAUCUGUGCAUCCAGGCACCCCAAGCUUUUCCUCGCGCGAUGGCAUCAGGCGCACGGAGGGAGCUCUUCUCCGUCGAUGUGGUGAACAACGACCAUGAUCUCCGUUCCACGGCGUCACCGGCUAGCAAGUCAACACACAACACGAUUGUAGAGUGGUAAGUCCAGGCACCCCAAGCCUGUCCACGGUGCCACCAAUGAACAAGGCCGAGACAAGCAUCGUAAGGAUCCAGUUAGAAUGAUGAUUGAUAUCCUGUUAGAGCAUCUUGGGCUUCACAAGGCCAUCUGAGACUCGGGAUCGAUGAGGCAUUUGACAUGAUAAACAAGUGCCAAAGGUUACUUGUAUGAUCUGAGAUACAUGAGCUCCUUCUCAGAUCAGCUUCAUAAUGUGAUAGCACAUGGCUUUCCUCCUGCCCGUGCCGUGGAUACAUUGACAAACGUGACCCUUAUGAAUAUUGAAGUGAUGGCACAUAACCUUAAGAGCAGAAGCAAUCAUCUGUAGAAGAGGCUGCAUGCCAUAAAAAGACAGUCUUUAGGCGCAACAGCAUGAGGUGUUUGCACCAAUUGAUUUCUUCACACCAAGGCCAUGGCGUUGAUCAUCUAUGGACAUCACAGAUCAUCUAUUCUAACUCUGGCAAGUACGAGAUGAUAUAUGAUGCCACCAGCUCCUGUGAUGUACCGUGCAAACUACUGUGUGAUCUCCCUCUCCUUUUGUGAACACGUCCCCUUCGGCACGUCUAUUCGUACUUUUGCACUCAAUAUUUAUGUGUAUGAACAUUGCAUCCUUUAA